rnacentral:sRNA from 1 species
AUUUUGAAUCUGGAGACAUUUUGAUUGGGAAUCUCCAAGUAAGUAGAAGACUUUAAUUAGAGGAAACCACUGCAGAUUUGAAAGGUAAACGCAAAGCACUGAAGUUGAAUUUUGCAAAUCCACCUUUCAAAUCUACAGCAAGGUUUACUCUGAAUCCCAAUCCUACAGGAGUUCAAAACCCACACAUAGAGAGACUGAGAACACACAGCAUUGAGUCAUCAGGAAAACUGAAGAUCUCCCCUGAACAACACUGGGAUUUCACUGCAGAGGACUUGAAAGACCUUGGAGAAAUUGGACGAGGAGCUUAUGGUUCUGUCAACAAAAUGGUCCACAAACCAAGUGGGCAAAUAAUGGCAGUUAAAAGAAUUCGGUCAACAGUGGAUGAAAAAGAACAAAAACAACUUCUUAUGGAUUUGGAUGUAGUAAUGCGGAGUAGUGAUUGCCCAUACAUUGUUCAGUUUUAUGGUGCACUCUUCAGAGAG